ensembl:lncRNA AABR07021503.1
UUUCUCACAUGAACAGUCCCACGGAUGCCACUAGAGGAUGAAGGCUCUUAUUCUGGAUAUCAGUCCACUGUUGGAGGUACAGUUGGCAAGGACUUUCUUCCAUCCUGUGAGGCUGCCUCUUCACUUCACAGCUUCUUUCGCUCUAUAAAAGUUUUAAAAAUUAAAAAAAAAUCACUUUACAGUGUGUGUGUGUGUGUGUGUGUGUGUGUGUGUGUGUGUACCACAGUGAUUGUGUAGUGGUCAGAGGACAACUUGUGGGAGUCAGUUCUUUCCUUCUGCCCUGUCUGGGGACUGAACUCAGAUCAUUAUGCCUCACGGUGUGCACCUUGGCCCACUUGGCCAUGUCUUGCUGGCGCUGUAGAAGCUUUGCAACAUCAUGAGGUCUCAUCUGUCAAUUGUUGGCUGCUGCACUCUUUUAAUAACAACUUUUGCUGAACACUUACGAUAGUGAUAGUUAUUUCUCUAAGUGCUUCUAGCAAGGGGAGUCUAACUUUUUAACAGUUGCCACACACUGGGUUAAUCACCACUCUUGGGCUCAAGUGGCUUGUGGUCAAUAGCUUGGCCACACCUGUUAGACCUUAUCUUUGUUUAUUGAAAUAUUAGUUAAACCUUGGGUCUAUGCCACAAACAGUGCUUUCUCUCCCUUAGCCUCCCAUGGUAUUACAAGGGUAUCUGGAACAAGAUACAGUAUCCUUGAACAAGGCUACUUUGCCUGGGAUGUUAAGUUACUUGUCUCACAGUUUGAAGAGCUCCCUGCUAUGAGGCCCAACCAAGUAUCAUCUAUGUGUAUAGCUUAGGUUGUCACAUCUUUAUGGAAUAUAUAAAGAACCUGGACAAAAGGCAAACAUUUAUUCCAAAUUCAUCCUCAUACUUAACAAGCACUUCCUUCAGCACUUAUCCACAUGGUAUUUCAUUUCAUUCACGUAACAGCCCUUUAAAGUAGCAUUUUAAAGAUUUCAUUUUCAAGAUGAAGGAUCUGGAACAUUGUAACAAUUGAGUGAUUCCCCUCCCCCCAAAAUGUACAUGUCUGGGAAGUAACUGAGUGAAACAAUUAGAGCUUAGUUUCAAUUCCCCCUUUUGAAAGAUUUAUGUGCAUAUGAACAUGUGUGUUUGUCUCUGUGUGUGCAUGCUUGCAACCUACCCUUGUGUGCAAGGGCCCAUGGAGGCUAGAAAAGUAUGCCGGAUGUACUGAAGUUGAGGAUGAUUGUGAGCUGCUCAACAAGGGUGCUAGCAGCUAAAUUCCAGUCCUCUUUAAGUGGCCUGAGUUACUGGGCCAUCUCUCUAGUCCCAUCAACCUCCAAUUCUUUGGAACUUUGAUACUCUCCACAAAGAUUAAGAGGGGAAAUUUGAUGAACGAGGUUAGGGCUGUGUGAUUUGGAGAAGGCUGCUGACUGCAUGGUGGGCACUCCCUGUCUUAGAACAACUGAGAUGGGAUUCUGAGACACAUUUGUGUGACAUCCAUUAGGAAGGGCAUCUGAGCUUUAGAAUAUUGGUGUCCUCUUCUGUGAGGUCCUGGAGGACCUCCUUUCCUCAGAGAAGAAAUACCACGUGUUCCGGGAAAACCAAAACAGCCCUAGACUUUAAGACUCUUCAAACAUGGUUAGUGAGUUGGUGCACUGCAGCGGCUGAGUGCUCAAGGUCUUAUACAAUACAGAAUUUUUAUCCAGCAAUUGAGAGCUUUAGGUCUGUAAAUGAAAGAACUUUAUAUCAGUGGGGGCCUUGGCAUGAGCCUCACUGGCACCGUCAUGGCUUCACCUGCAGGGCUGGAUUCCUUCCAGAGGCUCUUUCCAGCUCAUUGGCUCUGUGUGUCUGAAUGUCUGCUGUUGUUCAGAAUAUGUCUCUCAGACUUCCCCACUGAGUGGCAGGGCAUGACUCAGUCUGGGGGUGCAGAAUAUGUAUCUGUUUAUCUGACUCAUAGCCAAUGUGGAAUAUUUUUUUUUGACAUCUCAUGCUUGUCUAAAAAAAAAAUCACUGCAAAUUUAAACUUCCCUUCAAAAUGUUUAUAUUGAUGUUAAAUUAAAAUUUCUAUUGAAAAUAGCUUAUAAAAGAAAA